rnacentral:rRNA from 1 species
AUGCUGAUUGUCUUGUUUUAAUUUUGUUGAUUAUAUUUAUUUGUUAAUUAAAAUAUUAUUUUGUUGUUGUAUUGUUUUGAUUUAAUUAUUUUACUAUAGUUUAUUUGUACUGUGAAGGGUUGAAAUGGGUAAAUGUUUUUUUGGAAGUUGAUUUUGUUUGUCGUACCUUGUGUAUCAGGGUUCAUUGAAUUUUAUUAUUUAUUUUUAUUUCCCGAUUUUAAAGGAGUUAAUGGCUUAUGUUAGUUACUGUUUUAUUAGUAUUAAUAAUAAGUGGUUGGAAGUGAAAUGUUAUUCGUCUUUAGUGGUUUCUGGUUUUUCAAGAAAUGAAUUUAAUUCAUGCAUUUUAUUUAAUUUUUGUUAUUGAUUCAUUUAUUUUUAUUUGAUGUUAAGAUUAAGGGGGAUUAGCUCCUUAUUUUAUUUUUAUAAUUGGCUUAUUAUUAAUUUAGUUUUGUGGAUUUUAUGGUGAUUUUCUAUUUGAUUAUGUUAAAAUUUUAUUUAUUCUUUUUUUUAUUUUAUUUUAUUUAAAUUGUUUAUUGAAAUGUUUGUUGUUAUUUUGGUUUACUUAGUAAUUAUUGUGUAAUUAGUAAAUUGUAUUUAUUGUGUUGUAUAGUGACUGUGUGUUAAUUGCUUUUUAGGAAUUAGGCAAAAUUUAUGUCCGCCUGUUUAACAAAAACAUCUUUNNNNNNNNNNNNNNNNNNNNUCUGGUAUGAAUGGCUUGACGAGACAUAAGCUGUCUUAGGAGUAUUGUUUAUUGAAUUUGGUUUUUGAGUUAAAAUUCUUAAAUGUUUUUAUGGGACGAGAAGACCCUAUAGAGUUUAACAUUUUUCUUAUUUAUUUAUUGUUUGUUUUACGUUAUUUAUUGAGUGGGAAUGAUUGUUUUGUUGGGGUGAUGGGAGGAAUAAAAUUUAACUCCUCUUUAUUUUAUAUAUUUAUUUAUAUUUCUUUGAUCCAUUUAUUUUGAUUAUAAGAUUAAAUUACCUUAGGGAUAACAGCGUUAUCUCCCUUGAGAGUUCUUAUUGGCGGGGAGGUUUGCGACCUCGAUGUUGGAUUAAGGUUAAUUUUCGGUGCAGGAGCUGAAAUGAUUAGGUCUGUUCGACCUUUAAAAUCUUACAUGAUCUGAGUUCAAACCGGCGUGAGCCAGGUUGGUUUCUAUCUAUAGAGUUAUAUUUAUAUCUUAGUACGAGAGGACCGGAUAUUCGGAAUAAUUUCGUUUGUUAAAUUGGAUUUUGUUAAUUU